ACGGAAGGCCGCAGUGGGGAAUAUUGCACAAUGGGCGAAAGCCUGAUGCAGCGACGCCGCGUGAGCGAUGAAGUAUUUCGGUAUGUAAAGCUCUAUCAGCAGGGAAGAUAAUGACGGUACCUGACUAAGAAGCACCGGCUAAUACGUGCCAGCAGCCGCGGUAAUACGUAUGGUGCAAGCGUUAUCCGGACUUACUGGGUGUAAAGGGUGCGUAGGUGGUAUGGCAAGUCAGAAGUGAAAACUAUGGGCUCAACCCAUAGACUGCUUUUGAAACUGUCAAACUAGAGUGCAGGAGAGGAAAGAAGAAUUCCUAGUGUAGCGGUGAAAUGCGUAGAUAUUAGGAGGAAUACCAGUGGCGAAGGCGUCUUUCUGGACUGUUACUGACACUGAGGCACGAAAGCGUGGGGAGCAAACAGGAUUAGAUACCCUGGUA
rnacentral:rRNA from 1 species